rnacentral:rRNA from 1 species
AUGAACGCUGCGGCGUGCGUAACACAUGCAAGUUGAACGCGGUGCCAUAAGUGGUAACACGGAGUGGUAUACGGAGUAGCGGACGGGUGAGUAAAGCAUGAGAAUCUGUCCUGUCGAGGGGGAUAACGUUCGGAAACGGACCUAAUACCCCAUAGUCCGAGAGGUUAAAGGCAGCGAUGCGCGGCAGGAGGAGCUCGUGUCCUAUCAGCUGGUUGGUGAGGUAACGGCUCACCAAGGCUUCGACGGGUAGCCGGCCUGAGAGGGUGACCGGCCACACUGGAACUGAGAAACGGUCCAGACUCCUACGGGAGGCAGCAGUGGGGAAUAUUGGGCAAUGGGAGGAAUCCUGACCCAGCGACGCCGCGUGAACGAAGACGGCCUUCGGGUUGUAAAGUUCUUUUAUGUGGGAAGAAUGAAGUGACGGUACCACAUGAAUAGCCCGGCUAA